GAUGAACGCUGGCGGCGUGCCUAAUACAUGCAAGUCGAGCGAACAGACGAGGAGCUUGCUCCUCUGACGUUAGCGGCGGACGGGUGAGUAACACGUGGAUAACCUACCUAUAAGACUGGGAUAACUUCGGGAAACCGGAGCUAAUACCGGAUAAUAUAUUGAACCGCAUGGUUCAAUAUUGAAAGACGGUUUUGCUGUCUCUUAUAGAUGGAUCCGCGCCGCAUUAGCUAGUUGGUAAGGUAACGGCUUACCAAGGCAACGAUGCGUAGCCGACCUGAGAGGGUGAUAGGCCACACGGGAACGGAGACACGGACCAGACUACUACGGGAGGCAGCAGUAGGGAAUCGUAGGCAAUGGGCGAAAGCCUGACGGAGCAACGGCGCGUGAGUGAUGAAGGUCUUCGGUUCGUAAAACUCUGUUAUUAGGGAAGAACAAAUGUGUAAGUAACUAUGCACGUCUUGACGGUACCUAAUCAGAAAGCCACGGCUAACUACGUG
rnacentral:rRNA from 1 species